GCGGGCCAGACGCCUGGGCUCUUGCGUGGGCGGUGUUCCUGAGGCGCGAAUGCGGGGUCCUUAGAAAAGGAAAACUGGAGUUCAAACCGGUCAUAGGAAGCGUUGGCGGGUCUCUCUCAGGAGUCCCUCGCGGGGCUCGCGGGCAGAGAAACCCGGGGGACACCCUGACGCCCACGAUGAAUGGUGAUGGCACGGCUUCCGGCGCCGCCUGAGAAAUCCUGACCAAGGUGUGACUCCACUUGCCAAAGAGGAUUUCCCCUCGCGGAACUCGAACCCGGGUCUUCCACGCGACCCACCCCGGCGACCGGUGUAGGUUUCUUCAAUCUGGACGCGGGAAGGAGCCGCGCGACGGCCGGUCGCUAGCAGAGGAGGACAGUCUGGAGGAUUAAAACCUACAGGCAGGAAAUCCAGUUUACACAGGAGCCAGAGGACAAGGGAAGCAAUGAUGCUUCAGGACUAAAUACAGGAAGAGUUUGGGGCAGCAUUAGCCAUCUUCCUCUGAGAGAUGACAAGGACUAAGAAUUCCAGAAAAAUGUACAGAUUUCAGCAAGUAAAAGGGCAUUUUAUCACAGGGGCAGAAAGGAAACUAGAGCAACAGCUGAAUGAAAAAUGCAACGAGAUUGCAAAGUUCACACUGCCCGUCUGAGAGGAACUGGGCCAUUACCAGCCUCCACCAGGAAAACAUGUUCAUCUGUGAUUCAGAUGUCCCGUGGCCAUCCCAGCUCAUCCCCGGACCACGUGAAAUGAGAGAAACCCUUCAUGCGCACCACGGCUUUUGUUGCAGAGGCAGCUGCUCAGCUCACCGAGCUCUUUCCUUCUUUUGCUCUGUGAUGCAGUCCAGCCUAAUGAGCAGCCUUUACGAGCUGAAGUGGUUUGAAGGGUGUUUCCCUUCCAUUUAAACAUCCCUAAAUACAUCCAUUCUCCACAUAAGGUUCUCUUUCCUUUCCAACAAAAAUCAAUCUUUGUUUAACUUCCCAACUCAAAUAAAUCCCACCUUUCUAAAAGUGA